GGAAAGUAAGUCAAAACUUUUGGGGUUCUUUGUUUUCCUUUCUGUUUGAAAUUCUUGAGCUUUGAUUUACUUUAUAACUAGACUUUCUCUGAUUUAUAUACUGAAACCCAGUUUUGUUUUCUGGACAUUUUUUCUUUUUCCUUCUCAAUUUAGAAAAACCGUUGCUUAAAUUUCAAUCUUUUUUCCUCUAAGAAGAAGUAUGCUUACUAAUCAAAUCACUUGAUAGAAUUUCGUGGUUCUUAUGCCUAUUAAAAAGGGGGAAGAAAAAGAACCUAUAAAUUACUGGAAGAGAUAAAUGAACAAAGUAAGCCACCAUUCAGAUGAACU
rnacentral:misc_RNA from 1 species